UCCGAAUUGGUGUAGGGGUUAACAUUGCCGCCUCUCAGUCUUACGUAAUCUGAAACGCGGCAGCCCGGGGUUCGAUUCCCCGAUUCGGAA